CCGGAGAAUGUUAUCACGGGAGACACACGGCGGGUGCUAACGUCCGUCGUGAAGAGGGAAACAACCCAGACCGCCAGCUAAGGUCCCAAAGUCAUGGUUAAGUGGGAAACGAUGUGGGAAGGCCCAGACAGCCAGGAUGUUGGCUUAGAAGCAGCCAUCAUUUAAAGAAAGCGUAAUAGCUCACUGGUCGAGUCGGCCUGCGCGGAAGAUGUAACGGGGCUAAACCAUGCACCGAAGCUGCGGCAGCGAACGUAUCACUUAAAGCGAUUCAGCGGGUUACGAUURACGGAGCGAAGCGACGUCAAAGCGUAUACAAAGUCGAGUCGGUUUAAGGAUACGUUCGUUGGGUAGGGGAGCGUUCUGUAAGCCUGUGAAGGUGGCCUGUGAGGGUUGCUGGAGGUAUCAGAAGUGCGAAUGCUGACAUAAGUAACGAUAAAGCGGGUGAAAAGCCCGCUCGCCGGAAGACCAAGGGUUCCUGUCCAACGUUAAUCGGGGCAGGGUGAGUCGACCCCUAAGGCGAGGCCGAAAGGCGUAGUCGAUGGGAAACGGGUUAAUAUUCCCGUACUUGGUGUUACUGCGAAGGGGGGACGGAGAAGGCUAUGUUGGCCGGGCGACGGUUGUCCCGGUUUAAGCGUGUAGGUGUGUGUUCCAGGUAAAUCCGGUUCACUUUAACACUGAGGCGUGAYGACGAGGCACUACGGUGCUGAAGCAACAAAUGCCCUGCUUCCAGGAAAAGCCUCUAAGCAUCAGGUAACAUCAAAUCGUACCCCAAACCGACACAGGUGGUCAGGUAGAGAAUACCAAGGCGCUUGAGAGAACUCGGGUGAAGGAACUAGGCAAAAUGGUGCCGUAACUUCGGGAGAAGGCACGCUGACA
rnacentral:rRNA from 1 species